rnacentral:tRNA from 1 species
GCCUCUGUAGCUCAGUUGGUAGCGCAAGGGACUGAAAAUCCCUGUGUCGUUGGUUCGAUUCCGACCGGAGGCACCA